UACGUAGGUGACAAGCGUUAUCCGGAAUUACUGGGCGUAAAGCGCACGCAGGCGGUUAGAUAAGUUCGAUGUGAAACCUUUCGGCUUAACCGGAAGACGUCGUUGAAUACUGUUUGACUUGAGGCAAUGAGAGGAAUGCGGAAUUCCCGGUGUAAUGGUGGAAUAUGUAGAUAUCGGGAGGAACAUCUGUGGCGAAAGCGGCAUUCUGGCAUUAGCCUGACGCUCAUGUGCGAAAGCGUGGGUAGCAAACGGG
rnacentral:rRNA from 1 species